rnacentral:other from 1 species
GGAGUCGGGCUGAUUGAAGGCCCUGGCUCAGCCCAGGCCAGCCUCUUCCCAGCGCUGCCUGUUGUGAGCAUGGUCAGUGACCAUGACUAAUCCACCAGGGCCCCUGCCACUGAGGCUUACAGGCUACAGGUGAAGAAGGUGUGGUCCCACUUGGCCCACAGCAAGGUGAUGGGAGGACCAGGCUCAGAGUGAACAUCACCCACAGUGAGAAGCACGACCUUCACAUCACCCCACAGCAGGGCUG